CCAGAUACAAAUAUGAGGGAGGAUAGUUCAGUAGUUUAAGUAUUGGUCUGCUAAACCCAGCAUUGUGAGUUUAAAUCCCUAAGGGGGCAAUUUGGGG